UAUCCGGAUUUAUUGGGUUUAAAGGGAGCGUAGGCGGGUGCUUAAGUCAGUUGUGAAAGUUUGCGGCUCAACCGUAAAAUUGCAGUUGAUACUGGGUACCUUGAGUGCAGCAUAGGUAGGCGGAAUUCGUGGUGUAGCGGUGAAAUGCUUAGAUAUCACGAAGAACUCCGAUUGCGAAGGCAGCUUACUGGACUGUAACUGACGCUGAUGCUCGAAAGUGUGGGUAUCAAACAGGAUUAGAUACCCUGGUAGUCCACACAGUAAACGAUGAAUACUCGCUGUUGGCGAUACACAGUCAGCGGCAAAGCGAAAGCAUUAAGUAUUCCACCUGGGGAGUACGCCGG
rnacentral:rRNA from 1 species